rnacentral:rRNA from 1 species
AUGCAACAACCGCAGCUGCAGCCCCGCGUCCGCGCGCGCGCUUUCCUCCACGCCGCCGUCAAGCUCAACCCGAGGGGGAACCCGUUCCUCCUGCGCCGCCCCGCCGCGUCCGCCGGCGGCGCCGUCGCGGGCGUCCAGCUGACGGUGUCGGACUCGGAGCUGUCGUCCCGGGGCUUCGCCGUGCGGCGCACCGCGGAGGGCCUGGACGUGGCGGCGCUGAACGAGGUGUUCGCGCGCGUGGGGUUCCCUCGGCGGCAGGAGGAGCGGCUCCGGUGCGCGCUGGAGCACAGCGAGGUGGCGUGGCUGGCGUCGGAGGCGACGGGGCGCCCCGUGGCGUUCGCGCGCGCGGCCGGGGACGGGGUGUUCAACGCGGUGGUGUGGGACGUGGUGGUGGAGCCGUCGUGCCAGGGCCUCGGGCUCGGCCGCGCCGUCAUGGAGCGCCUCGUGGCGGAGCUCCGGCGCAAGGGCGUCGGCAACAUCGUCCUCUACGCCGAGCCCAGGGUGGUCGGGUUCUACCGCCCGCUGGGGUUCGCCAUGGACCCCGACGGCAUCCGGGGCAUGGCGUACUACCGCAGCAAGCAAAACCAGAAGCAACAGUGA